AUUGAACGCUGGCGGUAUGCUUAACACAUGCAAGUCGAACGGCAGCAUGAUCUGUAGCAAUACAGAUUGAUGGCGAGUGGCGGACGGGUGAGGAACGCGUAGGAACCUGCCUUACAGAGGGGGACAACUAGAGGAAACUCUAGCUAAUACCGCAUAAAGUCUACGGACCAAAGCUGGGUGGUAACACCUGGCACUGUGAGAGGGGCCUGCGUCUGAUUAGCUAGUUGGUAGGGUAAAAGCCUACCAAGGCGAUGAUCAGUAGCUGGUCUGAGAGGAUGAUCAGCCACACUGGAACUGAGACACGGUCCAGACUCCUACGGGUGGCUG
rnacentral:rRNA from 1 species